GAAUAUUUGAAGAAUCCAUAAAUAGUUUAUAAAAUAAAUCAGAGGGGGCCGUGGAAUUUUUUUGUUUCAGCUAAAGGGUCCCUGGCUGCAAUGACUUAGUGACUAAUACUUAGUGACUAAUUUCUGGAACAGUCUUGUGUACUAGCAGUUGCUCCAACCUUUGACUUUAUUUCUGGCUUUUUCUUUGUAUAAUUUUCUUUCACUUGUUCUAGUCAUUUGGCAGAACUUGUAUUAUUUUAAGCUUCUUCAACAGAUCUUUGCUUGGGUUGGAUUCUGCCUCAUUUGGAAGUUGUUUUGGAUAAAACUCCUUGCCAAUUAAAUAGAUGUAAAUUCAUCCAUCUAAAUAGAAAGCCCAGAAGUCAUGGCACGACACAAUGAGAGAGUUUUUCAUGUGCUCAUUUCCCCUAGUUGUAAAGUCACUGUUGUGUCUGGUUCAGAGUUCUACCAGCAUAAAAGAUUUGCGCACACAGCCUUUCGUCCGUGGGAAAAUUUGGGCCCAGGCCUCACAGACAAGCGUGGUAUGGGAGUCAAGGCAGGGUGCAGAAUCUGCCAGCCAAGAGUGAGCUCCACUGCGAUCAACACUCUCAUCGUCAUACUCUGUCUCUCUUUCUAUCCGCCUCCGUAUCACACACAUACACAGGAAAUAAAAAAGUCUCAUUACAACAUUUAUAUCCCAGUAUUAUGUUCUUAUACAUAUUGGCGAAGUUCUGACAAAGAUCUAAAAUAAAUGCUGAUUUUUUUCACAUGACAUUUUAGUGACUUUCCCAAAUACAAUAAUCAAUAUGUAUAUAUUUUAUAUAUAUAAAUACAUAUUUAUAUAUAAUUGUAUAUAUAAUGUAAAUUUCUUUUUUAGAUUUAAUAUCCCAUGAAUGUGUCAUGACUGGUGGCUAAAAUGUAAUUUGAUUCAUUUUAAAAAAUCAAAUUAUUCUUGUCUAGUUCACAAUGAUCAGUGUAAUUCAGGGCUUGUAAUCAGCGGCGUAGGCAGGAAUUCAUUUCAGAGAGGGAGAUGAGGACAUAAAUAAAAUCAUGCACUCUUUUAUUUUGGGUGGAUGCAGGUAUUAGUAAACGAACUUGAUCUACCAUCAAGCAGUCAUGCCAUAUUAAUAAUGAUAAGACAUGAUAUAAAAUACCUUUAUGACAGUUCCACUGAAAGUGAAUUAAACAAAUGAAUAUGUGAUUAAAUAAAGGAAGGGACAUUUGUUUGAAAUCUGGGGCGAUUAAAUACGUAGGAACCAUAAAGAUAAAGAUUCAUAAAGAGUUUGUCAACCUUUUAUGAAGAUCAUUAUAGUACAAUUACUGUGCAAAACAAUAUUAUUUGUCACUUACAUAAUCGGCUGCACCGUAUGUGUGUAAUAAUAACCACCCACCAGUAACUAUUUGGAUCUGCCAUGUAUGGAACAGAAACAUUUCAGGAGGCUUUAAAUACAGACGAGUCAUUUCCUUUACUUUUCAACACUGCUGCACGCACCACCCUUUCUUGUACUUUUCUAAUGGAUGCAGGAAGUGAGUUGAGGGGAGACAGCUGAGGGGGGAAAAAACCACAGAAAAGAACAAGGAGGGCAGGAAAGAAAGAAAAAAACAAGACAUUUUGUACUUUUACGAGAUGUUCUGCAAUUUUGAAUUUUUCCCUUUCAACAGAUAUACAGUCUGAUAGAGGAGAACUCAGGGUUGUGAAAGCUUUCAAGGGAUAUGGGAAAACAUCUGCAUCCGUAACUGCAACUGAGACAUGUCAGUGAAACUGAAGACUAGCAUAGGCAAUGCUCAUAUUAUUAUAUUUGUUCCAGUGGGGGUGACUGAAUACGGAGACAGAGUUAAAAACUGUUCAAACAUGAAAACAUAUUUUCUUGUUAUGAAAUCAGGAGUAAGGGGAUUAUGAGAAAGAAAGAGAGUAAAAGAGGGAGAGACAGAUUGAGGUUCAGGAGGAUAUGAGUGGUGUGGGAAUCUGGUGUGCGUCACUACUGGCCUCAUGUUUUCACUGAUGUGCAUCUGUUAUCUUGGGUCUAUUCGGUCUGUCAACAUUCUCUUGCUCUCUGAUAACACUGCUCACUGCUCUUAUAAAACUGGCUUGCUCCUUUUCAUGGAAAAGUAUGUACCUUACAUACGACGUAUGAAGCCAGCCAAAGCCUAAAGGCUAAAUAUGCCAAGAAGUUCUCUAGUGACUACAUUUAUACACAUACUACUGCCCAGCUGAGGGCUGCCUAUCCUCCCAGGAAAAGCUGCUGAUGCCUGCCACUCUCGCACGUACCCUCUGUAUUUGGCACCAGCACUCUGUUGACACUCGCUGCAGAAAGAAGUGCUGUAUAACUGGUUUAUCAUGGUCAGAGUCAUGGUGGAAGUGGACACUAUCCCAUGAACACUGGGUUCCUGAAGGGAAUAAACCCUGAUAGAGACUCCAGUCCAUCACAGGGCACCACACGCAUACAUUUACUCUUAUUUACAGUUUUUAAGAUGGGAGGAAGCUGGGAGAACCUGGAGGAAACCCACACAGACACGAGAAGAACAUGCAAAACUCCACAUUGACAGUAACCUGAGCUCAGAAUCAAACCAGGCACUGGGACUGUGACACGGAAACGCUACCUGCUGAACUUCCUGUCAAAUAUUUUUUCCUUUUUGAGGCAAAUAUGUAGCUAGACAGGGCAAGACAUUUUCACAAGUGUGCCUUUAAUGCUGUCUUGCAAUCCUGCUCUUCUGGUUUGAUCAGUUAUUUGAUCAUUGUGUUGUUAAAUAAACCUUUUUUUUUUUUAAAAGUUAUUCUUGUAAAACAUUUUUAAUACACUUCAAGGUAUUUUGUAUGUUUAACAACAUUAAAAAGAUUUAAAGAAAGGAUUUAAAGAAAGGUAAUUUUCCACUUUCCAGGUUGCUGAUAAUAUCGCAUCACCUCAGAUAGUAUGUUUUGUGAAUUAUUUAAUUAACUGUCCUUUCUGGCUGUAAACAAGGUUCACAUUUACUCUGAGAACUGCUUUGAUGAGACUGUCUCAGAAUUUCUAUUAGUUUUGCUCAACCAUUGUAAAUCAACAGCAUUCCUCUCAGGUCUGGGUGUGUCUUCCAUUGCGUAAGGAGAGAUGUUAGGUGGUUAAUCCACCUAUUCAUCAUAGUGACAACUAACAGGUCCAGCCAGUUUCUGUAACCGGCUCUUGAUUAAACAUCCCACUUUGUCACUGGGAUACGCGUUUCAUGUCUAAAACUCAUGUGACCCAGGCAAAUUUAGUUGGCAGGUCCAAAAUCACCUAGUUUCCAUUUUGGCAAUAACCUUUGUUAGAUCUAUGAUUAAUAAUUGAUAACAGCAUAUAAAUAUAAACAGGGCAUUUUUUGUGGGCUGACUCUGCUUUGACCCAUGUUUCCAUAGACUCAGUACCCUUAUUUACUGUGAUGAAAAGUGCUUGACGUUUAUGUUUCAUUUACGCCUCAUGUAGAAGCCACACAGACAAAUACGCUAGUAAGAUUCAAGAAAAGACCAAAUCGCUUCAUAACAUUACAUUUUUAAGGUGGCUCAUGAAGUAGCGUGUCCGCUCGUAGUUUCUUACUGAUUAGUAUCGCACUCAAACCUUUAGACCUGAUUGUGUUCUUUCUACUGAAGGUGUGUGUGAGAUAUACACAUACGUCACAUAUAUAUUUAAGAACAGCUGAUGAAUCAGGGAAUUUUCUUACCUGCUAAAAGAGGUACAAGAUACAGUGAAUAUUCAGUUCAAUUCUAGCUCAUAUUUUGAGCCUUUUCUAAUGUUGUUAACAAAACUAGACUUGAUAUUUCCUUCCUUGUCAAUGAGCAUGGAACUGAUGAAUUGCUGAUCUUUUGCUAAAAAAAGUAUGUAAAUUAUAAUAUUUAUGCAGCAGUGCCUGAUUUACUUUUAAGCAAUGUAUUAUUCACCAGUUGGCGACUUUCCAAGUUGAGUUCUAUUAUCAUGUGUUUUUUAUUUUUUUAAUUGUUUUUUUCCCCUAGUAGACACUGAUUUCAGACUACACAAUGAACACAAUCUUAACCUAUUAACAUUUAAAGUUGUUUUUGACCCUGUUUUUUUUUAAUGUUUCAUCCCAUUUUGGAUCUUUUUGCUAAAGUGUAUUUAAGUAAAGUACCAAAAUAUUCAGAAUGAUGUUAUAAACUGGAAAUGUGUAAGAGUUUUUUAUAGGUUGUAGGAGAUUCACAUUUUGAGCAACAGACAUAGAGGCAUGAGCAGCAUAUCACCAUGAGACCACAGGCAAUGUUUUGUUUGAAGCAGCAGGUGCCCAAGAUUGCAGGAGAAGUAGUCAGAGUCAGAAGAGAGUGAAAAGAGGCAGUGUGACUCACUCUGACAUACAGUAUCUCUACACUGCCUAGGGUGAUGAAGAC